rnacentral:rRNA from 1 species
GACGAACGCUGGCGGCGUGCUUAACACAUGCAAGUCGAACGGAAAGGCCCUGCUUUUGUUGUGUGCUCGAGUGUCGAACGGGUGAGUAACACGUGAGUAACCUGCCCUUGACUUUGGGAUAACUUCAUGAAACUGGGGCUAAUACCGGAUAGGAGCGCCUGCUGCAUGGUGUGGGUUGGAAAGUUUCGGCGGUUGGGGAUGGACUCGCGGCUUAUCAGCUUGUUGGUUGGGUAGUGGCUUACCAAGGCUUUGACGGGUAGCCGGCCUGAGAGGGUGACCGGCCACAUUGGGACUGAGAUACGGCCCAGACUCCUACGGGAGGCAGCAGUGGGGAAUAUUGCACAAUGGGCGGAAGCCUGAUGCAGCAACGCCGCGUGCGGGAUGACGGCCUUCGGGUUGUAAACCGCUUUCGCCUGUGAAGAAGAGUGAGUGACGGUAAUGGGUAAAGAAGCACCGGCUAACUACGUG